rnacentral:RNase_P_RNA from 1 species
GCAGAAGAGAGGUCUGUCGCUUCAUGUCAGGCACAUGAAGAGGAAAGUCCGGGCCACGUAGAGCACCAUACUUGGUAACGUCAAGCCGGCGGCAACGUCGGGGUGAAUGUGACAGAAAACGACCGCCUUCCGGCCUUUGACCGGAAGGUAAGGGUGAAAAGGUGGAGUAAGAGCCCACCGGAUGCCGUGGCAACACGGCAUGCCGCACAUCCUAUGGGUGGCAAGGCCAAAUACACCGGCAGCUAAGGGUUGCUCGCCCAUUGCCGGGGGGUAGGCUGCUCGGCGCUUCGCGCCGGAGCCGUCUGGCGACAGACGGUCAAGAUAAAUGACAGACGGGAUAGUCCUUUACCGGAUUUAUCCUACAUAACCCGGCUUAUAUCCCUUCUGCUCUU